rnacentral:lncRNA from 1 species
AUUGAGCUUCAAAUGAAUUAUUUUCUGAUUAAUAUUUUAGAACAUUUUUUUAAAGAUUAAAAGAAAGCAUAACUUGUUCUUGAAAGAUUAAAAAGAGUGAUUGCUACAAAUUUUGAAUAAUUCUAGAUCACUCUACAUUCUUGAUAUCAUAGAAUUUUAGUUUUAUUCACGCUUAUCAUCAAAAUCUGAAAUUCGACAAAAAGAAAAGAAUGAUUAAAGAAGAAUGCAUCUUUUGAGGGGGAGCUUUAGGUAUUUAAUUUAAAUGCAUUAUGUAUCUUAUUCAAAAGUCAUUUUCACUUGAUGCAUUCCUUGAAUGUUUUAUGGAUUGAUUUUGAUGAACUUCUUUGUGUUGCCAUUGCUUGCCUUGAGUUGAGUUCUCAUUAGUGUAAGCUGUGCUGAAACUUAUAAAAAAAUAUAUUUUCGAGAUUGACAAUUUGAAUGUUUUAUUGAACAUUAUCUGCAAAUUCUAAACUCUUAAGUGGAAUGAUCAAUAAGGAGCAGAAAGAAAAUUUUAGGAGGAGAGAUCAUAUAGAACUUAAUCGCAUAAAUCCAUAACUAAAGUAGAGAGAAAGAAUACUAAAUGAGAAGUGAUCCUAACACUCUUCAUUAUGUAUCAUCUGAAAUUUAAAUCUGAAAAUCUUUUUGAUACACUUUGAAGCUUGCUAUUUGGUUAAUAUAUCUUGUGUAUUCAUCAUGGACCAAAUUGCAAUUCAAAUAGUUGAUCUUACGUGCCUCUUAUUUAAUGAAAAAGGGGGAA